rnacentral:lncRNA from 1 species
GGGUAAGGCCCUGAAGCCUUUUGGGGUAGGAGAGGAAAUAUCAAACAGCUAAGCUUAGCAAGGUCCAUAUUAAGGGAGGGGAAUUAACUGUCACAGGUCAGCUGAGAUGCCUAUAGUGUCCUCUACCAGGAAGGACUUAGGAAUUGGCCUAUAAAUGUCUUAUUGUAAGGACAACCAAGUUGUUCACAUGGACAGUGCCUCCUCAUAGGCCUGCAUCACAGUUUGAUGCCCAGUUAUAGGACAACGGAUGUUGGGAUUGUGAGAUUUCUUUCAAGUUUGUCUUUCCUAGCUACCAAGAUAUAUCUACACAAGCUCAGUCAUCUCUGUAAAAACCAAAGUUAAUUCACUUGGUCAGAAAUAAGCAUUGCCUGGGGCAUGGAAAGGUAUUGCUAUGAACAAAACAGACAUAAAUUCUUGCCCUCAAGGCUCAUACAUUCUUGUGGGUAGUCAGGGGAAAUAUAAAAUAAAGAAGAUAUUGCUUAUAGCGUAUGGUAGAUGGUGGUAACUGCUAUGUAAAAGGAAGACAAGGGGGGCAUAGAGAGUGUCAGGGUGCGGGUUGAAUUGGCUUGUCUUGAAAUACCCAGAUGUCUGGCAAUAGAAAAAGAUAAUUUUGGAUGUUUGGAUGAUUAUUUUCAGUUAUCUUAUAGAUACUCAGUUUGUGUGAAUAAUAAUAAUUUUAGAUUUGUGUAGUGUAUUAUAAUUUUCAAAGCACUUUCAUAUCUGUUAUUUCCACAGACUGUGCCUCUGCCAAUUUCAUGUAGAUAAGCAAUUUGCUUCGUUCAGGCACAGAUUUGAACUAUAUUAAAUUUGGACUUUACAAUAACUUUUAGACCACUUACUAGAAAAUGCUCUUUUCCAUCUUAUGAAUGUCUUGUAGUGAACUGCAUCAAGUGUUCUCUCAGGAAGCCAAAGAACCAGACAUCUCCCCAGUGGCCUGGUGGAUUCUUGAGACGCCGUGGAAUGGGGAGGAGUCGUCGAACGCGUCAGUGUGUUCGUGUUCUACGACACCGCCUGGGAUAUUUGUGUGCACAGUCCCAUUCCUCUGUCAUAACCCCAUAAAUCCUUCCAAAGGGAGAAAUUCCCUCAGGAUCAAGAGAGCCCUCUACAUUCCUGAAAUCAAUGAAGGCAAAAUGUACGAGGAUUUCUGAGAAAAGUAAAUGUGGUGUGAGCAUGAUCCCUGGGUGUCACUAUGCAGCAGAGAAGGCUUUCUUUUCCUUUUUCCUUUUUUUUUUUUUUUUUCCCUCCACUGAAUGGUGUUCUUUGCUCUCAAGUUAACUCAUGCACUGGAUUUGGUCCAAGUACAUUUUGUUUCUUGAUUUCCAGCCAGGCUUCUCUCAGUUGUGGUGUAUUCUCCUCUUUGCUCCCCUCCCUCCCCUGUCCCCUUCUCUCUUUUUAUAAUCAUUUCAACUUUUCCAUGUGACUGAACUCAUACAGAGGAAAACCCACCGGCAUGGGUAGGGCUUCCACCGGAGUGAGGCCAGAGGGACCCUGUGAAUGGCCGGCCCCUCACUCAGCAGCAGCCUGCACGGCAAGGUACGUCUGAAAGCAGCUGAAGCAGAAAGCGUUUGAACUCUGCCCCCUGCCAAAUGAUUUCCAGAUGUGUCAACUCCAGCCUCCCUCUGUUCUCUGACUGUAGCCCUGCCAACAUCCAUCUGCAGAUUUCUAGUGCACAGGACACAUGAAAGAGUAUCUUUUACAACAUCUGCUCUUUCCCCCAACUCUCCCCCUCUGGCUUCUCGGACUUUGCCCUAUAUUUCAUCUCACCCCUUAAACAAAUUCAUUAAGGAAUCACUGCACGACUCUCCUUGGCCCACAGAUGCCAGCUCAUCUGUCUCCCCCCAGGGCCUCCUCUUGGCUCUCUGGACAUUUGACCAAAGCACCAUUAGAAUCAUUAAAGACACAUAUUGGACUUGCUGCAGGAGAAAAGAACCGAGUUUUCUCUGUUGGGCUGCUGCCAGUCUACGAGCUGCAAAAGGAGAUUGCCCAUAAGGAGGACAGAGCAGAGCCCUAAAGAUGAAGACACAGGUCUCCAUGAAGAGUUUGCCUGCUGCGCAUCCUUGGGAGGAGCUGAGGUCUUCUUUCAGGGCGAACCGUUUCCCAUGGACAUUCAAGUUUCUUGAAACAAACAAGACAGGCUUCUGUAAAAUUGGAAGUAUUUAUGUGCAGAAUGAGUUUCUUGCCUCCCCCCAUCCUCUGGAGUAUGGCACCCAUCAAGCUAAGAGGACAGAAAAGGACCUUUUCUUAAUGUAACUCAAAGGGGGGAGAAAAGAGUCAAAGAUCCUUUUAGCAAAAUAGAGCAGGAGAUUUUUACUGAGGCGCUCACUCUGACUAGGAAAAUGAUUUGAUUGUUGUGUAAAUAAAUGUUUGACCUUCAUUCUGCCCUUCA